rnacentral:rRNA from 1 species
GACGAACGCUGGCGGCGUGCUUAACACAUGCAAGUCGAACGGAAAGGCCCUGCUUUUGUGGGGUGCUCGAGUGGCGAACGGGUGAGUAACACGCGAGUAACCUGCCCUUGACUUUGGGAUAACUUCAGGAAACUGGGGCUAAUACCGGAUAGGAGCUCCUGCUGCAUGGUGGGGGUUGGAAAGUUUCGGCGGUUGGGGAUGGACUCGCGGCUUAUCAGCUUGUUGGUGGGGGAGGGGCUUACCAAGGCUUUGACGGGUAGCCGGCCUGAGAGGGUGACCGGCCACAUUGGGACUGCGAUACGGCCCAGACUCCUACGGGAGGCAGCAGUGGGGAAUAUUGCACAAUGGGCGGAAGCCUGAUGCAGCAACGCCGCGUGCGGGAUGACGGCCUUCUGGUUGUAAACCGCUUUCGCCUGUGACGAAGCGUGAGUGACGGUAAUGGGUAAAGAAGCACCGGCUAACUACGUG